rnacentral:lncRNA from 1 species
UUGAAUAAUCUAAAGAGAUUGAAAGAAAAAUUAAAGCAAACUACAAAAACACCUUCCAGGUCGGGAGAAGAGUAGCUUCCCCAUUGUUGCUUUUUGCACAGGGCCCACAAUUUGCACAUCUUCCUUGCUAGAGCCCUCUCCAUCUUCUACCAUAUUCACGUCCUCAAAUAACCUUUCAAACCUUUCAAGAAAUUCCUUAUCAGGAUAACCCACAGAACCAGAACUUGUUAACGUGUGGCUCUUAGUGCUGGACUUGACGAAUGAUCUGAAGAGACGCGGCACAGGCUUGAGGAGGACCUACGAUUUCUUCCUGAUCCUUCUAGCUCUCUUGAUGUACACACUUGUAGGCUUGAAUCCCAAACCAAAGGUUUCUAUUUUCUUGGGGAGAGAAACCGGCUAUAUGAUACCCUAAAGAGAGACCCCCAAACCCUUUCCUGGAACAAACCCAUUCUAUAACAUUUCAACGGCCACCAUGAUUCAUGCAGCAGCUAACUUUGGCAUUGGAACACACUCUCCCUCUGGCACUUUUCUUACUAGCAUCGUCUCAUGAACCUGAUAGACCCAGGGCCCCUUGUCAUCACCCACCUAGACGAGUGGCACAAUAGCAUCACUGUGAGCAUAUAGAUGGUCCUCGCCAUGCACAAUUAUUUCUUGUCGAUCCCAUUCAAAUUUCACUAUUUG